rnacentral:rRNA from 1 species
GACAGAGGGUGCAAACGUUGUUCGGAAUUACUGGGCGUAAAGCGCGCGUAGGCGGUUAUCUAAGUCGGAUGUGAAAGCCCUCGGCUUAACUGAGGAAGUGCACCCGAAACUGGGUAGCUAGAGUACUAAAGAGGGUCGCGGAAUUCCCGGUGUAGAGGUGAAAUUCGUAGAUAUCGGGAGGAACACCGGUGGCGAAGGCGGCGACCUGGGUAGAUACUGACGCUGAGGCGCGAAAGCGUGGGGAGCAAACAGG